AUAGCUUCUGUCCAUAUGUAGGGGAGAGCCAGGAAAGUUGAAACGCGGGACGGAUGAAACAUUCCACUUUUCUCCGAGUGCAAUAAUUAUAGACAGACUUCCUUAGGUCAACACAUAGAGCAU